rnacentral:rRNA from 1 species
CCUACGGGAGGCUGCAGUGAGGAAUAUUGGUCAAUGGGCGCGAGCCUGAACCAGCCAAGUAGCGUGAAGGAUGACUGCCCUACGGGUUGUAAACUUCUUUUAUAAAGGAAUAAAGUGAGGCACGUGUGCCUUUUUGUAUGUACUUUAUGAAUAAGGAUCGGCUAACUCCGUGCCAGCAGCCGCGGUAAUACGGAGGAUCCGAGCGUUAUCCGGAUUUAUUGGGUUUAAAGGGAGCGUAGAUGGCUGUUUAAGUCAGUAGUGAAAGGUGGGGGCUCAACCGUAAAAUUGCAAUGGAUACUGGAAGUCUUGAGUACAGUGGAGGUAGGUGGAAUUCGUGGUGUAGCGGUGAAAUGCUUAGAUAUCACGAAGAACUCCGAUUGCGAAGGCAGCUUACUAAACUGCCACUGACAUUGAUGCUCGAAAGUGUGGGUAGCAAACAGGAUUAGAGACCCGUGUAGUC